CUUUGUCAAUUGUGUUUUUGACUGUAACUACCCUGGAUAUUUUGUCAUUCACAGAUAAGUGUUGCCUUGCUUUAAUCCUUUUCAAAAGAUGGUUUAUAAUCAGCUAUAGGACUUUGACAGGUGCUGUUAAAUGUAGGUUUCUGAUAUCUCUGAAGAUUGUAAUAUUGGAACAAAGGAAAAAUGUACAGGACACCUGAAGAGUUGAAAUGUUCAUGGAUAUCAAACAGAAUAAAAGUUAACAGAAUGGACUGAACUAACAGAAAACUGAAGUAAUCUUUUUAACCUUUGUGCUUAAAUCCUUGCUGAUACUUGUUUUGUUUCUCAGAAUCAAGGAAACUUAUUUUGAGCUAUUUACAGUGUUUAAUAAUUGAGUAAAAUAUAUACCUGUGAACAAAAUUUCAAACAUAUUUGUUGCUCUCUGCCUGGCUUCUCCAGAAUUUGAAAACUAUUUGUGAGUAUUCUUAGCUUAUGGCAAUAUACUUAUUUGCAUUAGUGCAAUAAGAAUCCAUUUUCUUUUGCAACAGGACACAAUUGGAGAAACUGGAUGUUUUACCAAGGCUUUGGCUGGAAGGAUAUGCUUCCCUUUAAGGAAUCAAGUUUGACUUGCAGAGGCAAUAAAAGCCCCCUGGGAAAACUGGCCUCAUACUUUGUUUACACAGCCCCCAUACAGGGUUUCUAAACUGUGGUGAGUAAAGAAUGUCACUUUUUUUUUUUUUUUUUUUUGAGAUGGAGUCUUGCUCUGUUGCCCAGGCUGGAGUGCAGUGGCAUGAUCUCGGCUCACUGCAAACUCCACCUCCUGGGUUCACGCCAUUCUCCUGACUCAGCCUCCCAAGUAGCUGGGACUACAGGCACCCACCACCACACCCGGCUAAGUUUUUGUAUUUUUAGUAGAGACGGAGUUUCACCAUGUUAGCCAGGAUGGUCUCGGUCUCCUGACCUUGUGAUCUGCCCUCUGCAGCCUCCCAAAGUGCUGGGAUUACAGGUGUGAGCCAUUGCGCCUGGCCAAGUAUGUCACUUUCUAUCAGGCCCAGGAGCCCCAUGCUUUUGCCACCUUAAGAAGAGAGGAAUUUACCUAACUCAUAGGUAUUUGAGGGUACAAACCCAUUGUUAAGCUCAGCUUUAAAAGGUCUUAUCUGAAAUUCCUUGUGGAAGAGAGUUCCAUCAAAGCCAAUUUAAAAGUGUCAGGCCUCUGAGCCCAAGCUAAGCCAUCAUAUCCCCUGUGACCUGCACGUAUACAUCCAGAUGGCCUGAAGUAACUGAAGAAUCAGAAAAGAAGUAAUAUUUAAAUGGCCUGUUCCUGCCUUAACUGAUGACAUUCCACCACAAAAGAAGUGAAAAUGGCUGGUCCUUGCCUUAACUGAUGACAUUACCUUGUGAAAUUCCUUCUCCUGGCUCAUCCUGGCCUAAAAAGCUCCCUGACUGAGCACUUUGUGACCCCCACUCCUGCCUGCCAGAGAACAACCCCUCUUUUUCCUUUACCUACCCAAAUCUUAUAAAACAGCCCCACCCCUAUCUCCCUUUGCUGACUCUCUUUUUGGACUCAGCCUGCCUGCACCCAGGUGAAAUAAACAGCCUUGUUGCUCACACAAAGCCUGUUUGGUGGUCUCUUCACAUGGAUGCGAGUUAAAUUUUGGUGCUGUGACUCAGAUCAGGGGACCUCCCUUGGCAGAUCAAUCCCCUGUCCUCCUGCUCUUUGCUCCGUGAGAAAGAUCCACCUACAACCUCAGAUCCUCAGACUGACCUGCCCAAGGAACACCACACCCAUUUUAAAUCAGGAGACGCAUUUUAUCCGGACCCAAAACUCCGGCGCCAGUCACGGACUCAGGAAGACAGUCUUCCCUUGGUGUUUAAUCACAUGGGGAUGCCUGCCUGAUUAUUCAUCCACGUUUCAGAGGUGUCUGACCACGCGAGGAAGCCUGCCUUGGUCCUUCACCCUUAGUGCUUAGUGGCUGAAGACUGACACUGCCCGAUCGCCUCAGAAGCCCCCUAAACCAUCACGGAUGCUGAGCUUCAGGUAACUCUCACAAUGGAAGGUAAGUCCGUCCCAUUCUUAAUCAAUACGGACGCUACCCACUCCACAUUACCUUCUUUUCAAGGGCCUGUUUCCCUUGCCUCCAUAACUGUUGUAGGUAUUGAUGGCCAGGCUUCUAAACCUCUUAAAACUCCCCAACUCUGGUGCUAACUUAGACAAUACUCUUUUAAGCACUCCUUUUUAGUUAACCCCACCUGUUCAGUUCCCUUAUUAGGCUGAGACACUUUAACUAAAUUAUCUGCUUCCCUGACUAUUCCUGGGCUACAGCCACACCUCAUUGCCAUCUUUUCCCCCAGUUCAAAGCCUCCUUCACAUCCUCCCCUUGUAUCUCCCCACCUUAACCCACAAGUAUAAGACACCUCUACUCCCUCCUUAGUGACCGAUCAUGCACCCCUUACCAUCCCAUUAAAACCUAAUCACCCUUACCCUGCUCAAUGCCAAUAUCCCAUCCCACAGCAUGCUUUAAAAGGAUUAAAGUCUGUUAUCACUCACCUGCUACAGCAUGGCCUUUUAAAGCCUAUAACCUCCCCUUACAAUUCCCCCAUUUUACCUGUCCUAAAACCAGACAAGGCUUACAGGUUAGUUCAGGAUCUGCGCCUUAUCAACCAAAUUGUUUUGCCUAUCCACACUGUGGUGCCAAACCUAUAUACUCUCCUAUCCUCAAUACCCAUUAUUAAUACCCUCAAUACCCUCCACAACCCAUUAUUCUGUUCCAGAUCUCAAACUUGCUUUCUUUACUAUUCCUUUGCACCCUUCAUCCCAGCCUCUCUUCCCUUUCACUUGGACUGACCCUGACACCCAUCAGGCUCAGCAAAUUACCUGGGCUGUACUGCUGCAAGGCUUCACAGACAGCCCCCAUUACUUCAGUCAAGCCCAAAUUUCUUCCUUAUCUGUUACCUAUGAUGGCAUAAUUCUCAUAAAAACACACGUGCUCUCCCUGCUGGUCAUGUCUGACUGAUCUCUCAAACCCCAGCACCUUCUACAAAACAACUCCUUUCCUUCCCAGGCAUGGUUAGAUACUUUCAACUUUAGAUACCUGGUUUUCCCAUUAUAACAAAACCAUUAUAUAAACUCACAAAAGGAAACCUAGCUGACUCCAUAGAUCCUAAAUCCUUUCCCCACUCCUCUUUCCAUUCCUUGAAGACAACUUUAGAGACUGCCCCCACUCUAGCUCUCCCUGACUCAUCCCAACCCUUUUCAUUACCCACAGCUGAAGUGCAGGGCUGUGCAGUCAGAAUUCUUACACAAGGACCAGGAUCGCAUCCUGUAGCCUUUUUAUCCAAACAACUUGACCUUACUGUUUUGUCUAGCCCUCAAGUCUGCGUGCAGCAGCUACCACCACCCUAAUACUUUUAGAGGCCCUUAAAAUCACAAACUAUGCUCAACUCACUCUCUACAGUUCUCUUAACUUCCAAAACCUAUUUUCUUCCUCACACCUGACACGUAUACUUUCUGCUCCCUGGCUCCUUCAGCUGUACUCACUCUUUGUUGAGUCUCCCACAAUUACCAUUGUUCCUGGCCUGGACUUCAAUCCGGCCUCCCACAUUAUUCCUGAUACCACACCUGACCGCCAUGACUGUAUCUCUCUGAUCCACCUGACAUUCACCCCAUUUCCCCAUAUUUCCUUCUUUCCUGUUCCUCACCCUGAUCACAGUUGGUUUAUUGAUGGCAGUUCCACCAGGCCUAAUUGCCACACACCAGCAAAGGCAGGCUAUGCUAUAGCACAAGCCACUAGCCAACCUCUAAGAACCUCUCAUUUCUUUUCCAUCGUGGAAAUCUAUCCUCAAAGAAAUAACUUCUCAGUGUUCCAUCUGCUAUUCUACUACUCCUCAGGGAUUGCUCAGGCCUCCCUUCCUUUCCCUACACAUCAAGCUCAGGGAUUUGCCCCUGCCCAGGACUGGCAAAUUAGCUUUACUCAACAUGCCCCAAGUCAGGAAACUAAAAUACCUCUUGGUCAGGGUAGACACUUUCACUGGAUAGGUAGAGGCCUUUCCCACAGGGUCUAAGAAGGCCACCACAGUCAUUUCUUCCCUUCUGUCAGACAUAAUUCCUCAGUUUGGCCUUCCCACCUCUAUACAGUCCUAUAACAGACCAGCCUUUAUUAGUCAAAUCACCCAAGCAGUUUUUCAGGCUCUUAGUAUUCAGUGAAACCUUUAUGUCCUUUACAGUCCUCAAUCUUCAGGAAAGGUAGAACGGACUAAUGGUCUUUUAAAAACACACCUCACCAAGCUCAGCCACCAACUUAAAAAGGACUGGACUGGCCGGGCACCGUGGCUCAUGCCUGUAAUCCCAGUACUUUGGGAGGCUGAGGCAGGCAGAUCACGAGGUCAGGAGAUCGAGACCAUUCUGGCUAACACGGUGAAAACCUGUCUCUACUAAAAAUACAAAAAAUUAGCCAGGUGUGGUGGCAGGUGCCUGUAGUCCCAGCUACUCCGGAGGCUGAGGCAGGAGAAUGGCAUGAACCCAGGAGGCGGAGCUUGCAGUGAGCCAAGAUCGUGCCACUGCACUCCAGACAGAGUGCAGUGCAAGACUCCAUCUCAACAAAAAAAAAAAAGGACUGGACAAUACUUUUACCACUUUCCCUUCGCAGAAUUCAGGCCUGUCCUCAGAAUGCUAUAGGUUACAGCCCAUUUGAGCUCCUGUAUAGACACUCCUUUUUAUUAGGUCCCAGUCUCAUUCCAGACACCAGCCCAACUUGAACUGCACCCCAAAAACUUGGAUAGAGCCUAAAAAUUCACCAACCAAGCAAGUAAUUACGCUGAACCCCCUUGGGCACUCUCUAAUUAGAUGUCCUGGGUCCUCCCAAUUCUUAGUCUAAUAUCUGUUUUUCUCCUUCUCUUAUUCCAUUUAGUUUUUCAAUUCACACAAAACAGUAUCCAGGCCAUCACCAAUAAUUCUAUACAACAAAUGUUUCUUCUAACAACCCCAUAAUAUCGCCCCUUACCAUAAAAUCUUCCUUCAGCUUAAUCUCUCCCACUCUAGGUUCCCACGCCGCCCCUAAUCCCGCUCGAAGCAGCCCUGAGAAACAUCGCCCAUUAUCAAUCCAUGCCACCCCCCAAAAAAAUUUUCUCCCCACCCCAACACUUCAACACUAUUAUGUUUUAUUUUUCUUAUUAAUACAAGAAGAGAGGAAUGUCAGGCCUCUGAGCCCAAGCUAAGCCAUCACAUCCCCUGUGACCUGCACAUCUACAUCCAGAUGGCCUGAAGUAACUGAAGAAUCACAAAAGAAGUGAUAUUUAAAUGGCCUGUUCCUGCCUUAACUGAUGACAUUCCACCACAAAAGAAGUGAAAAUGGCUGGUCCUUGCCUUAACUGAUGACAUUACCUUGUGAAAUUCCUUCUCCUGGCUCAUCCUGGCCUAAAAAGCUCCCUGACUGAGCACCUUGUGACCCCCCACUCCUGCCUGCCAGAGAACAACCCCCUUUUUUCCUUUACCUACCCAAAUCUUAUAAAAUGGCCCCACCCCUAUCUCCCUUCGCUGACUCUCUUUUUGGACUCAGCCCGCCUGCACCCAGGUGAUUAAAAGCUUUAUUGCUCACACAAAGCCUGUUUGGUGGUCUCUUCACACAGAGUGAAAAAAGGCCUAUGUGAAAAAUGAUUAUUCUUGCUAUACUUUAUGCAAAUAACCAGGCCAACCAUGAGACUAAAGUUUAUUUUGCAAACAACUCAGUCCUAUCAUGAUUUGUUUUUGACAAAAAUGAGGACUGGAGAGAGAAAACUUAUGUUUCAAAACUUACACACUUGUCAUUAAAUUCUAAUCUCAUCGUUUUUUUUUUUUAAGUUUCUGCCUACAUUUUAGACUAACUCUGCUUAUUCCUGUGAACCAACCAGUGGUCUCUGGCUGCAGCUCAGAAAAAACAAAAGGGAUGGGUAAUGUAAAAAUCUGGAUGAGUAUUCUAGUUCUGGGCAAUUAUCCUGCAAAUCCUGCCAGGUGGUAUGAGUAAAUAGGAUGCCUAUAACCAGGAGGUUUCUCUGUUAGGAAAAUAAGAUCAAGGGAGCUAACCAAAGCCGAGCCCCAUGUACCGAAAUCUUAGCAGGCAUAACUAUAGUCACCAGUUAUCAGGUUGUGUUGACAGCCUAGGGAUUUUUGAGCUGCCCUUACCCACCUUUGUUUCGUUUUGAUACAUGUCUUCUAAUAAGCUAAAUUGUUUCUUCUUACUUAGAGGCCAUUAAACUUCAAAUGGUGAUGCAAAUGGAACCACACAUGGAUGUGCCAUUCUUCUGGGGACCCUUAAACAGACUCAGGAGGAGCCUGAGAUUAACAAUUUGUUUAAAACCCUGUCAGCAGGAAGCAGUUAAGAGCAGUCAUCGCCCACUUUCCCCAACAGCGGCCUGAGUCUCCACUUCUGAUGGGGGGAAUGAAAGGAGUUAGCCAGCCUGCUUUAGGCAGACAGUAAGGGAAGAGUCCCCAGAGAACCUCCAACCCAUAUUUUGAGCAGAUAAAGGAACUUGUACAGGGGGCUUGCCUAAACAUGCCCACAUGCGCACUGGGGGAAUGGGAUGGAGCCAACAGGAAUUUGUGUCUUAUACAAAUAAGGAAUCCAGUUCCAUCAGCUUGUAUGUAAAAGCUCUUAUAUUCAACUGUGAAGGGGGCAACUGGGAACCUGUUUUCAGGAUCCCUCUUUUUGCUGAGAGCUUUCCUUUCGCUUAAUAAAUUGC
rnacentral:lncRNA from 1 species